AAGGCCCCUUGUAGACUACAAGGUAUUAUAGGUCGGGUGUGUAAGCGCAGUAAUGCGCUCAGCUUACCGAUACUAAUCGGCCGUGAGGCUUGGCCAU
rnacentral:rRNA from 1 species